UAUUUCGUCUCUCUCAUCUGGACCGCGAGGUCUCGUACAACAACGACUACCCGACCUGAAAAUGGCGACUGUUUUCUAUUUUUAUUUUAAUUUGUUCGAUGUAGUGUUUUUAUUGUAAAUAACAUGUCAGGUCGGAACAUGGAAGCGAUUGAUCGGGUCAUGUAGAGUAAGGAGAGGCUGAGCGGCAAGUACAUGUGAUAUUCAGCAUUUCAAUUGUGCCAGAACCUACAUUUUAUAUGUAUUUUAUCAAAGAAUUAUCAUAUCCACCCAGCGGCUGCCAUCAUCUUGGCUUGCUGAAGGAAAGCGAAUGCUUCUGCCCCUCUGACCGCUGGCACAAAGCGCAUAAGGAAACCCAACCCGACCAACCGGACCAACCAGCAGGGUCACGUGUCAGGUUACUUCCCCUCUCCAAUCUGUCGAUUCCAGCAAUAUUUGCGGUUUACUAACCCAAACUACAACGUGAUUCAAACCGCCAAAAUCUGGUAUUGUUAUAUAUUUCAACCAACUCAACUUGUUAAAAUCCUGCCAAUUAAAUAAUUGUGAACAGCUGG
rnacentral:lncRNA from 1 species